rnacentral:rRNA from 1 species
UACGGAGGAUGCAAGCGUUAUCCGGAUUUAUUGGGUUUAAAGGGUUCGUAGGCGGAAAAGUAAGUCAGUGGUGAAAGCCUGCAGCUCAACUGUAGAACUGCCAUUGAAACUAUUUUUCUUGAAUAUAUAUGAAGUAGGCGGAAUGCGUCAUGUAGCGGUGAAAUGCACAGAUAUGACGCAGAACACCGAUAGCGAAGGCA